GGAAGUGUUCACAAUAAAGUAUUAGAAAGCCCAUUAGCGGCACUUUCCAGCGCCGCGGAGCCAGCGGCAACCCGAUAUCAUCGGCGGAUCCCAAUGAAGAUGAUGGCCAGAUGACAAGUGAGUGAAGGAGGGAAGGGUCAAAUCCAAAACACAUGUCAACACAGAGCAAGAGGUCCUUCCCUCCAGUGACGUUCUUCUGCACGUGACAAAGGACGUGGAAAGACGUGGAGGGUGUCGUCUGCAUAUCUACCACUAGGAGUGCUGCAGCUUGGCAGUUGGAGAGCACUCAAUGUUCCACAGCUGCUGCCGUUGCCUCACUCUGAUCCUCCGCAGAGGAGCUGACAGUCCAUAAAUGCACACAUUCUUAAUCAUCCACAUUGUUGCUUUUGAUUGGGGAACAAUUGAUUCCACAUGGUUCGAACAUCUAUUAUAUGGGACACGUUAAUAGCUACGCUAACCCGGAAUACUAGAGUUUCAAAGCUAGGGUUAGGGUUUCAAAGUAGGGUUUAGAUUGGACAUAGUUGUAUACUUCCUCUUUGUGUCAAUGGCAGCCAAAAACACAACAGUUACACACAAACACACACACACACUGAUCCACAGCCCCUCCCUCCCCUGUCACUGCCAGUGGUCCUGCCACCAAUGUUGAGCAGGUGACCUUUUCUUUCGGCUAAUCCACACCAAAAAGCCCUAAUUACUGCUGCCGCUCCACCAACCUCUGCUGUCCCAAUAAUCAAUACAGCCGAUUGACCGGCAGAUCACCCCGUCAACACGCCGGCACCAUACUUUGUGGCUUAACAUCAUGUGUGCACAUGAUGGCAUUUGCAAAGAAGACAAAGCUUCCGCAUCUGUGUUGUUGUUGUUGUUGACAAACGGGCCGUGAAAUGCUUAUAGACACUACAGGAGCAUCAACGACAACACACGCAAAAAAAAAAAAAAAUCCGAAACAAUGUUAUCAGGCAGGAGAAGGAAGUUCCAUUUUUGAUUGUAGCUACAACAACACAACCAUAUCAGUGAGAACUCCAUUUCCUCCCAUGUUCUUUCACUCCUUGUCACUCUCGCUGACAGACUUUGAUUGCACGAGACAAGUUAAUGAAAAGCUACAGCGGAGGAAGAAGGCUGCACCUGCCAGUGAGCCAGCCGGCGUGCAUACCUGCAGG